UGAGGAAUAUUGGUCAAUGGGCGUGAGCCUGAACCAGCCAAGUAGCGUGCAGGAAGACGGCCCUAUGGGUUGUAAACUGCUUUUAUGCGGGGAUAAAGGAGUCCACGUGUGGAUUUUUGCAGGUACCGCAUGAAUAAGGACCGGCUAAUUCCGUGCCAGCAGCCGCGGUAAUACGGAAGGUCCGGGCGUUAUCCGGAUUUAUUGGGUUUAAAGGGAGCGUAGGCCGCGUUUUAAGCGUGUUGUGAAAUGUAGACGCCCAACGUCUGCAUCGCAGCGCGAACUGGGACGCUUGAGUACGCGAAACGUUGGCGGAAUUCGUCGUGUAGCGGUGAAAUGCUUAGAUAUGACGAGGAACUCCGAUUGCGAAGGCAGCUGACGGGAGCGGCACUGAAGCUUAAGCUCGAAGGUGCGGGUAUCAAACAGG
rnacentral:rRNA from 1 species